UUGACCUCAAAUCAGGUAGGAUUACCCGCUGAACUUAAGCAUAUCAAUAAGCGGAGGAAAAGAAACUAACAAGGAUUCCCCUAGUAACUGCGAGUGAAGCGGGAAAAGCUCAAAUUUAAAAUCUGGUGGUCGUUGACCGUCCGAGUUGUAAUCUAGAGAAGUGYUACCUGUGCUGGACCGUGUACAAGUCUCCUGGAAUGGAGCAUCAUAGAGGGUGAGAAUCCCGUCUUUGACACGGACUGCCUGUACAUCAUGGUGCGCUCUCRAAGAGUCGAGUUGUUUGGGAAUGCAGCUCAAAAUGGGUGGUAAAUGCCAUCUAAAGCUAAAUAUUGGCGAGAGACCGAUAGCGAACAAGUACCGUGAGGGAAAGAUGAAAAGAACUUUGGAAAGAGAGUUAAACAGUACGUGAAAUUGCUGAAAGGGAAACGCUUGAAGUCAGUCGCGUUGGCUAGAAAUCAGCCUUGCUCUUGCUYGGUGUACUUUCUUGUCGACGGGUCAGCAUCAGUUUCGACCAUUGGAGAAGGACAUUGGGAAUGUGGCAUCCUUGGAUGUGUUAUAGCCCAUUGUCGCAUACGAUGGUUGGGAUUGAGGAACUCAGCACGCCGCAAGGCCGGGUCUCU
rnacentral:rRNA from 1 species